ACCCGCUGGGUGCACGGGACUUGUUCGCAGCUUGCUGGCGCGUGCCGGUUACAGCGUUCAGAGAGCUGACCCGGUGCUGCCUCCUUGACAUGAGCAGAGGGAAGCUGGCCUCCAGGACACAGAAGAAGUAAAGGAGAAGAGGUUUGUGUGGCAGGUGAAUGCAGCCGCCGUGCCCGUGCUGGCAGCGUCAAGGCAGUGGGAAGGGAAAGCUUCCCCUCUGUGGCUGUUGUGCCAAGAAGCAUCGUGUUCUCCCCACCAGCCGUGCUCUGAAAGGGUCUCUUCCGUUCAGAAGGGGACUUAGUGCAGGGCGGUCCUACUCCACAAACCUUGUGGAAGGAGCAGAAAGAGGAUCCCCUUGCUUUGAUAGAAAUGAGUGAAGUGCGACGUGUCACUGCGGUGAAAGCAGUCCAGGAUCUGCUGUUUGGGCUUCUGAGUCCAGGCAGGAAGAGGAGUUACUGUGCAGCCAGAUGGUUUCGUUUUUUCAGGAAGAUUAAUUACCUAGCAUCAACCGGCCUGGCCCUGGUAUCCAAGAAACAAGUACUUACGGCAACAGGUGGGUCCCUGGGAUCCCCGAGUUUCUGCAGUUUGCAACAGGCCUCUCUGGUAAGCAGAGUGGAGACCGUACUUCCCAGUGCAAUCCGUGCAGCGCUGAUUGCUGCUGCUGUGACCUUCUGCAAGAAAGUACCCAAGCAGCUGGGUGGGUAA
rnacentral:lncRNA from 1 species